rnacentral:misc_RNA from 1 species
GAUGAAGAACGCAGCGAAAAGCGAUAAGUAAUGUGAAUUACAGAAUUCAGUGAAUCAUCGAAUCUUUGAACGCACAUUGCGCCCGCCAGCAUUCUGGCGGGCAUGCCUGUUCGAGCGUCAUUUCAACCCUCGAGCCCCCCCGGGGGCCUCGGUGUUGGGGGACGGCACACCAGCCGCCCCCGAAAUGCAGUGGCGACCCCGCCGCAGCCUCCCCUGCGUAGUAGCACACACCUCGCACCGGAGCGCGGAGGCGGUCACGCCGUAAAACGCCCAACUUUCUUAGAGUUGACCUCGGAUCAGGUAGGAAUACCCGCUGAACUUAAGCAUAUCAAUAAGCGGAGGA